rnacentral:rRNA from 1 species
AACGAACGCUGGCGGCAUGCCUAACACAUGCAAGUCGAACGAGACCUUCGGGUCUAGUGGCGCACGGGUGCGUAACGCGUGGGAACCUGCCUUUAGGUUCGGAAUAACUCAGAGAAAUUUGAGCUAAUACCGGAUAAUGUCUUCGGACCAAAGAUUUAUCGCCUUUAGAUGGGCCCGCGUAAGAUUAGCUAGUUGGUGGGUAAAGGCCUACCAAGGCGACGAUCUUUAGCUGGUCUGAGAGGAUGAUCAGCCACACUGGGACUGAGACACGGCCCAGACUCCUACGGGAGGCAGCAGUGGGGAAUAUUGGACAAUGGGCGAAAGCCUGAUCCAGCAAUGCCGCGUGAGUGAUGAAGGCCUUAGGGUUGUAAAGCUCUUUUACCCGAGAUGAUAAUGACAGUAUCGGGAGAAUAAGCUCCGGCUAACUCCGUGCCAACAGCCGCGGUAAU